AACGGAAGGAGUUUAAUGGAAACGGAAGGCUGGGUGUCUGUACCGCUGUGAUUGGCUGAGAAGCACGCGCGGGUCACUUUCAAGUGUCUGACAGCAUGGAGGGGGGAGAAGAAACUCGAGUUCUUCAGCAAGCUGUCAGGUUGUUAAGAAAUAUUUUAUCAUCUCCUGAAACGGUCACAUCGUUGUCCUCGUCACUUGAUCGAGAUGGGACGGGCUCAACUGCACCCAGUGUUACCCACAGCACGGUGGAAAGUGAGAUGAGGGAACUUUUUAGACCAGCUAACACCCGGGUAUCUUCAACGAGUCAAGUAGCUACACGGAGUUCGACUGGAGUGGGGCAGUCUUUGCGAUAUCAGACCCAGAGACACUUUGGCAACUGGAACUGCAGAUCAAGGAAAAGGGCCAAGACACACUAUCAUGAUACUUUCAACAAAGAUGUCAUCCUUCUUCCACGGCCAUCAAGCAGUGUUGUUGUCAAGCAUCGCACAAAACAACAUUUACAUGAACAAGGGCAUAUAUUGAAUGGAUUUGAAUUCCAAAAAUCCUGGGACCAGAAAACUGUCUCUGAACAAAUAAGGGACGCCUUUGGAGAUAAACUUUCUAUUGAUGUAAGCCUGGAGUUUCUGAUGGCGUGUGGCAACAGACUGAUUGCGCCCAAACUGCGAGCAGGACAGGAGCUGGAUGCAAAUCUCAUACAUAAAAUUUAUAAAUCGAAAGCCCUAUACAUCAGACCAUCAAAACCAAUUUUGGAUGAUAUUACAAGCUACAGCAGUGAGGAAAACUGUGAAGAAAACCC
ensembl:lncRNA